GCUGUCACUCACCAGAUAAUAAUUAGCAUAAAAGGGGAUGGUGGGUAGUGGUGGGAUUCCCCAGUGCAAUGGAACCCAUUUUGACACUAAUGAAGGUUCUUUGUAGAAUAUAUUUUAGGAUACAUCAUUAUGAAGAGUCAUGUAUAUUCUGUGUAGCUGUAUGAGGGCUGAUGUGGGUGUUCCAGGUGCAGUAUGCACUCUGUCACACAGGCUGGAGCAAACAGACAGAGCUAGUAGCAGCCAUGUGAUAUCCCCUCUCUCUGCUGCAGCAACACAGGGGAGGGCGUG